GGUUUCCUGGUGUAAUGGCUAGCACUGCGGAUUCUGACUCUUAGAUCGAAAGAUCCCUGAUUCUAACAUUCCGCCAAUCUGGGUUCGAUUCCCAGGGAGACCU